rnacentral:rRNA from 1 species
UACGGGGGGAGCAAGCGUUGUUCGGAUUUACUGGGCGUAAAGGGCGGGUAGGCGGCCACCGCAAGUCAGUUGUGAAAUCUCCGGGCUUAACCCGGAAAGGUCAACUGAUACUGCGGGGCUAGAGUGCAGAAGGGGCAACUGGAAUUCUCGGUGUAGCGGUGAAAUGCGUAGAUAUCGUCAAGAACACCGAUAGCGAAGGCAGCUUACUGGGCUGUAACUGACGCUGAUGCACGAAAGUGUGGGGAUCAAACAGG